GACGAACGCUGGCGGCGCGCUUAACACAUGCAAGUCGAACGGAAAGGCCUGCUUUCCCUUGUGGAUUGCGGGUACUCGAGUGGCGAACGGGUGAGUAACACGUAAGUGAUCUGCCCCCAACUUGGGUAUAAGCCUGGGAAACUGGGUCUAAUUCCCGAUAGGACUGCAGGGUGGUGCCUGUGGUGGAAAACGAUUUUCUAGUGGUUGGGGAUGAGCUCGCGGCCUAUCAGCUUGUUGGUGGGGUAAUGGCCUACCAAGGCGGCGACGGGUAGCCGGCCUGAGAGGGUGGACGGCCACAUUGGGACUGAGAUACGGCCCAGACUCCUACGGGAGGCAGCAGUGGGGAAUAUUGCACAAUGGGCGGAAGCCUGAUGCAGCGACGCCGCGUGGGGGAUGACGGCCUUCGGGUGGUAAACUCCUUUCGACCGCGAGGAAGCCACCUGGUUGGAAGGGUGGUGACGGUAGUGGUAGAAGAAGCACCGGCUAACUACGUG
rnacentral:rRNA from 1 species